GCAAUUCUUUUGCAUACAAAGUUUUUGAGCAAAACAAAUAAAACGGCUUUUUUUGGGGGAUUUUGCGCUCUUUGGCAGGGUGAAAAUAGAAAAUAAAUAAUAAAGAAAAUAGAAAGAAAAAUUUUGUAUAAUUAUUUGACAAGUAGUGAUAGCUUACGAAGCGGACAAACGCAUUUAAAUAGUGAAGCCAUAAGGAACAUAAACGCGGAUGAAAUAAAAGAAAAAAAUAAUAAAUUGUAACAUUUCUAAAGUGGUGAAAACCAUUAAGAACUUGGGUGUAUCAGAGUAUUUCCAAUAACUUGACUAUUCAAUGAGGCAAGCAACGUGCUGGUAGCAUUGUUUUCUAGACUCCACUUAACAUGAUGUCAAGCUGUAAAUUAAAUGGAGUCUUUGCUAACG